ensembl:lncRNA
UUGAAGGAAAAACCUCAGAUGUCAGCUGUCUGUGUAAUGCAGGCAUGGAGUGCAGAAAGUGGAAUGUUAGUGCCCAUCAUAAUUCUCUUGACCCCAAAUGCCAUGCUUAUAUACCAUAUAUGUAUAGUACAUGGACUUGAAUGGGAGGAGAGUAGAUGUGCAGGCGGGGCUCUUCUUUUUUCUGUGUAUAAGUUAGAGUGAUUCAUUGGGGAAGCUAUUCAUACACCACACUGCCUGGAUCUACGUUCUAGUUUUGCAAUCAGAAACUUGAAGAUGUGGGGUGUCAACCAAGGAAACCAGUAUCCCCCUGGCUACAACGGGAACCCCACUGGGUGGGUUCAGCCAGUGGUAGGAACAUACCCAGUGCAAGGGGUAUAUCCUGGUGUAGUUCAGCCAGCAGUAGUUCAGCCUGUGGUAUUCCAGUGCCCCAUGGGAUGCAUUGGGCAAUGUCAUCAUGGUCAUUACGGUCACCACGGUCACCAAAGACACCAUGGACACCACGGACAUCAUGGUCACCAUGGUUAUUACUGAGAAUUCAAGCAGGCCCUGCCGCAGUGACUCUGACUAAAGCCUUGCAGUCAGAGGGACAUGACAUCUCUCCUCUGAUCAGCCCUAACACACCUGGGCCCAGUUUUUUUUAAAGUUAUUCAUCUGGAUUUCACUGAUCAUCAUAAUCAGAUAGGAUCAAGUGCAUAGUUCAUAAAAUGGUUUUGAAUGGGGAUUCCCAUUGUUUUAUUAUAUUUGUAUGCAUUUAAUCAACUGGAAAGACUAGGCUUAGCCUUUUCUUCUCUUUCCUCACAUGCUUCAUUAUAACCCCAGAACCAGUUCAUAAUCCAAACUCGCAUUUUGAAUGUCUGUGCUCAACAAAGCCCUGGUUUAAUAUCUGUGAAUAUUGUCUGGUGGUUUAUUUAAGUUGUGUGUGGUUUCUUUUCUGUGGAAUUAUUAUAUAAAACUUGCAGGAGAGUGUCUAAUUUCUCAUUGUAAGAAGGAAUAUUAAAAUAAGUAACUGUCAAAUGACUGUGUAGAUCAUUAUUACAAGACACAUGGUAUGUUAUUGAUAUUUGAAGUUAUGUGGCCCUGGGCAAAUUUCUAUAUGUAUAUCCUAAUAUAAUCUAAUUUGGUCCACCAAUAUAACAUUUCCCUAGUAGAUGGCAGCUUAUUCACUCUAGAUACAAAAAUAGAGUGUAAUUAAUAAUUCAUAGAAGUGCCAGCAUUUUCUUUAUUCCCUGAGAAUUAUUUGGCCAUUGUCCAGUUUAAUCCAGGCUAUCUUGAUAGAUUUGUCUCAAAUGUAUGCUUUGAGCUCACUCUACAGCAGUGUCUCCCAACCUUUUUCAGUUACUGUACCCCCAAAAUGUUUUUGCACUGCUUUAAGUACCCCUGAAGUACCCCCUCAUGUUAAUUUCAAUAGUAAGUCUAUGGUGUCAUGAGUGUUUUCAAGUACCCCCUGUGGAGAGGCCAAGUACCCCCAGGGGUCCUAGUACCCCUGGUUGGGAACCACUGCUCUACAGCAUAGGUGAAGUGAUGCAACAACCAUUCGGAAAGCUCUGUCACUUCCCUCUGGGGUCAAGAAAAAGGACACCACACGUGGAAGUAAUCUGUACUGGCAGUGAAUUGCAAAAUGGUCUUUAAGAGGGAAAAAUGGGGCCAACAUUACUGGCAUUGACAUUAUGGCAUAACAUCUCAUUAAGCAAUAAGGGAUCAAGGGAUGUGGUAUAUGGACAAUAUAUCAAGGCAAAGAGCUUUUAAACUCAGUUCAUCGUGGACCCCUGAGAUACUAAUUGCUAUUACACACUGGUCACCUCCACAAUUAGAAUUUAAUGAAAAGGUUUUGUGUCCUACGAGUGGUAUAUGAAUAAAUAAGGGU